rnacentral:rRNA from 1 species
AUACGGAGGAUGCGAGCGUUAUCCGGAUUUAUUGGGUUUAAAGGGAGCGUAGGUGGGAUAUUAAGUCAGCUGUGAAAGUUUGGGGCUCAACCUUAAAAUUGCAGUUGAUACUGGUUUCCUUGAGUACGGUACAGGUGGGCGGAAUUCGUGGUGUAGCGGUGAAAUGCUUAGAUAUCACGAAGAACUCCGAUCGCGAAGGCAGCUCACCGGGCCGGAACUGACACUGAUGCUCGAAAGUGCGGGUAUCAAACAGGAUUAGAUACCCUGGUAGUCCGCACAGUAAACGAUGAAUACUCGCUGUUUGCGAUACACGGUAAGCGGCCAAGCGAAAGCGUUAAGUAUUCCACCUGGGGAGUACGCCGGCAACGGUGAAACUCAAAUGAAUCGACGGGG